rnacentral:rRNA from 1 species
AGUCGAACGGCAGCACGGGUGCUUGCACCUGGUGGCGAGUGGCGGACGGGUGAGUAAUGCCUAGGAAUCUGCCUGGUAGUGGGGGAUAACGUUCGGAAACGGACGCUAAUACCGCAUACGUCCUGAGGGAGAAAGCGGGGGACCGCAAGGCCUCGCGCGAUGAGAGCGGCCGAUGUCAGAUUAGCUAGUUGGUGAGGUAAAGGCUCACCAAGGCGACGAUCUGUAGCGGGUCUGAGAGGAUGAUCCGCCACACUGGGACUGAGACACGGCCCAGACUCCUACGGGAGGCAGCAGUGGGGAAUUUUGGACAAUGGGGGAAACCCUGAUCCAGCCAUGCCGCGUGAGUGAAGAAGGCCUUCGGGUUGUAAAGCUCUUUCGGCCGGGAAAAAAUUGCACGGAUGAACAGUCUGUGUAGAUGAUGGUACCGGACUAAGAAGCACCGGCUAACUACGUGCCAGCAGCCGCGGUAAU